rnacentral:lncRNA from 1 species
AUCCCUUCUACUCCUGUGGAUGCUUUUAAUCAUCUUAUUCCAUGAAAAGUUCGGUUCACGUAGAAAACAUCAAAGUCAUUUUUCAAUAGAGAUAUGUUUUUUGAUAUUAAAUUCUAAUAUCACCCUGAACUCUUAGAUUGAUAACAAACCUCCCACUUCACGAAAUGGUCUUUACUUUCCUCUCCACCAGCCCAUUCAAACUUUAGCAUAUCACCCUCUAAUCUCUCAGCUAACCAUAAGGUAUUCUAAAUAAAGACAGAUAUUAAAAGGAAAUGUUAGCUAAACAAGACUAGAUCAAAG